UACGGGGGGGGCAAGCGUUGUUCGGAAUUACUGGGCGUAAAGGGCUCGUAGGCGGCCAACUAAGUCGGACGUGAAAUCCCCAGGCUCAACCUGGGAACUGCGUCCGAUACUGGAUGGCUUGAAUCCGGGAGAGGGAUGCAGAAUUCCAGGUGUAGCGGUGAAAUGCGUAGAUAUCGUAAGGAAGACCAGUGGCGAAGGCGGGUCGCUGGACAGUUCCGUGAC
rnacentral:rRNA from 1 species